CGCUCUGCGACCACCACAGUGAACAUGGCCACAGGAGUGCAAGUUGCUGAUGAAGUAUGCCACAUUUUUAUGACACUAAAGUUUGGAAGUGCUCCACACCAGAAGAAAUCAAGAAAAGAAAGAAGGCUGUCAUUUUUUGUCUCAGUGUAGACAAAAAGCGCCUCAUUGUAGAAGGCAGCAAAGAGAUUUUGGUGUAACCAUAACUGAUCCUUUCAAGCAUUUUGUGGAAAUGCUUCCUGAAAAAGAUUGUUGCUAUAUACUUUGUAUGAUGCAAGCUUCGAAACAAAGGAAUCCAGAAAAGAGGAGUUGAUGCUUUUUUUGUGGGCACCAGAACUAGAACCUCUGAAACGUAAAAUGAUCUAUGCAAGCUCCAAGGAUACAAUCAAAAAGAAAUUUCAAGGCAUAAAACACGAAUGUCAGGCAAAUGGGCCAGAAGACCUCAGCCGGACCUGUACUGCUGAAAAGCUAGGUGGAUCCUUAAUCGUAGCUUUUGAAGGAUGCCCUGUAUAGAUCACUGUUUGGUGUCACAAAUUGAAAGCUUCCAUGUUUAAUGUUACCCUCUUGCUAUAUAAGUAAAGCAAAUACAUUUAGGCCAGGGACUCACUGAGGGGGAGCUGUCUCAUCAUUUGUUAGGGUAAACUAACUAUUCUAUGAACAUGUGCAAAUGGCCCUAAAUAAAUCUAAACUCUAAAGUUUU